rnacentral:lncRNA from 1 species
GCUCUUCAUAAUCAUUGUCAGCUUCUUUUUUGCUUGUAAUUGCUCGCGUGUUUUGUGAAAUUGCAUAGCUCUUGUUGAUUGGCUAUGAGUACAGGCAAAAACAUGCAUACCCAGAAUAUAAUUAUGAAAAUUGAAAACUGUAGGUCUCUAGAGUUCGUGCUCUGAUGGGAUUGGCUAUUGAGUUGUAUACUUGUAUGAUAUUUUGGAGUUUAGAAUGUAAAAAAUGUAUCCAAGUCCAUUUGAACAUCCCAAAUCUACAACAUUAAACGAACAUUUUUGAAUAUGAAGAACACAAUUGUUGGCUUGCUACUUUAUCUUAAGCUUCUUGCUACUUUAACCUAAAAUGUUUUAUAACCCAAAUCGUAUUACAACCCAAAAUUAACAAC